rnacentral:lncRNA from 1 species
UACACACCUCCCGAAUUCCCCAAGAGCAGCCUCCUUUCUAUGUGCUUAUUAUUUUAUGAAGCUGACUCAGAAAGCCGACCCAUUGUGAGCCUGGGCUCAUGAUGCCCAGGCAGGAGCCGGAGUCUGGGAACACUCAGGCCAGGUUGAAUCCUUCACUGCUUCCUUUUGACCUUCCAGAAGUUUUAGCUUUCAGGCUUGAGGAUAAAAGAAGUUCUAAAUGCAGCAUGUAAAGAGCACAAGACAACUGAUCAAAGUGUGUAACUGACAAAAGAAGGUGAAGAUGAGGAGAGCUUCAGGGCAAGAUUAAAAUGAAGUCCUGGGAUUCAUGGAAGCAGGCAAAAAAUAUAUACAAUUUGAUGAAGACUCUGAAAGUGGACGACACAGUAUGAAUAUACAUAAACCGUCAUGAAAGAAAAAGAAAGAAAAAGAGCCCAUGACAGUAAGUGUGUGAAAUUACGAUGUCAUAGAAAUCCGUAUUUGGUCUUAGUCCCAGGUUCCUGGGUAGACUGCCUAAAACCCUUGUAAUUUGCUAAGUGAUAAGAGUGAUAAAGGUGAAAGGAGUGUCUUUCAUCAUUCAUGACAAGUGCCUUUCAACCACACCUGAGUUUAUGUUAUUGCAGUGGCUUUCAGAAAACCUCUAAGCAGCGGGUGUGGCUUGCCAGGGGAACUAUGGAUUAAGGGACUGGAACUUUCAACCCCAAUUCCCCAACCUCUAGGAAGGCAAGAGGGACUGGAGACUGAAUUAAUCACCAAUGGCCGAUGAUAUGAUCUAUUGUCUAUGUAAUGGAACUUCCCUAAAAAUCCCUAAUCAAAGGGAUUCUGAGAGCUUCCAGGUUGGUGUCAUAGGGAGGGCCUCAGGGAUUGGUGCAUAUGGGCAGGGCAUGAAGCUCCAAACCCCUUCCUCCAUGCCUGAGGCGUGUAUCUCUGCCAUCUGGCUUUUCUGAGUUGCACCCUUUUAUGUUAAGCCAGUAAUCUAAUAGGUAAACUGUUUUUCUGAGUCCUGUGAACCUUUAGAGAGAAGGCUAUCCUUGGGUA